AAAAUUCCUGCCUUUUCAAGUCUUUUAAUUCAUUCGUGGGUUCUCAAACCACUUUGGUCCCAUAACAGUUUUAUACAGAGGACUCCCAUAUAUAUUGAUCCGGCAGGGAAUACUUCAGGUAAUCUAGACCACCAACAAUCUCUCACCACCUCCUUACAACAUUCAAGAUCUCUACUCAUGGUCACAUUUGUCAUCAGUAGGUAAUACCACGGCACAGCGACCCUGGGACCUGCUACAGUUGUUCCUUAGUCCUGACAAGAAAAAGAGGACAAUAGAGUGAGAUGGGAAGCUGGACUGGAGAGAAAGGU